rnacentral:rRNA from 1 species
AGGAUGAACGCUAGCUACAGGCUUAACACAUGCAAGUCGAGGGGCAGCAUUAGAUUAGCUUGCUAAUUAGAUGGCGACCGGCGCACGGGUGAGUAACGCGUAUCCAACCUUCCCCCUGCUCAGGGAUAGCCCGGUGAAAACCGGAUUAAGACCUGAUAGUUUCACUAGAUGGCAUCUGACGGUGAAUAAAGGUUUCGGCAAGGGAUGGGGAUGCGUCUGAUUAGCUUGUUGGCGGGGUAACGGCCCACCAAGGCGACGAUCAGUAGGGGUUCUGAGAGGAAGGUCCCCCACAUUGGAACUGAGACACGGUCCAAACUCCUACGGGAGGCAGCAGUGAGGAAUAUUGGUCAAUGGGCGGAAGCCUGAACCAGCCAAGUAGCGUGCAGGAAGACGGCCCUAUGGGUUGUAAACUGCUUUUGUGCGGGAAUAAAGUCAGGGACGCGUCCCUGUUUGCAUGUACCGCAAGAAUAAGGACCGGCUAAUUCCGUGCCAGCAGCGGC